GCUGGAUCAUGGACUACCCACCGACGGAGAAUUUGUCAUUGAGCUGAUGGGAAAUGUGUCGGCACUCGGCUUCGUUUCAACCCGGAGGAAGAUUGGCAGCAGCAUAAAGAAAUUCAACUGAUAAUCAACUGUCCAAAUGAAGAAGAAUUUGUCACAAAGCUGAUGGGAAAUGUGUCGGCACUCGGCUUCGUUUCAACCCGGAGGAAGAUUGGCAGCAGCAAAAAGAAAUUCAACUGAUAAUCAACUGUCCAAAUGAAGAAGAAUUUGUCACAAAGCUGAUGGGAAAUGUGUCGGCACUCGGCUUCGUUUCAACCCGGAGGAAGAUUGGCAGCAGCAAAAAGAAGCUCAUCUUAAUUUAGUUGUCCCCCCUUUACGCAUUAGCGCUCAUCUCUCAUCCACUCAUCCAACACAUUCACUAUCGCCGGCCGGCAACACACAUAUAUUAUACACAUUACCCGUUUUAUAUUAUAUAAUAUUAUUAACACCUACAUAGUUUAAGUUAUUGUAUAUUUUUUUUUAUUAUUUGAAUGCAUUCAUAUGAUCAGUUGUGUAUUUAGGCAUUUUAGGAUAAGAGCAACACAUAUUUUGCCGCCUCCCCCCAUUAAAAAAAAAUUAAAAAACUUCUACGCCGCGCAAUAGUGGUCAAACUGUUAAUACCAUAGAAUACCAUGUUAUAUAAAUACUAUAGUAUUUUAUAUCUCUAUGGCACACAUAUGUUGUGAAAAAUAUUAAUGAUUGACGUCACUGCGCCAGUACUCAUAAAGUACAAAAUAAAAAUUUGCCAUUCUGGACAACUGAACCCAAAGCCCCUACCUAAAUACGCCCCUGCAUAUGAUGCG